CACGUAGGAGGCGAGCGUUGUCCGGAAUCACUGGGCGUAAAGGGCGCGUAGGCGGCAGGCCAAGCGUGCGGUGAAAGUCCGGGGCUCAACCCCGGAUCUGCCGUGCGGACUGGUUUGCUAGAGCACUGUAGAGGCGAGUGGAAUUCCGGGUGUAGCGGUGGAAUGCGUAGAGAUCCGGAAGAACACCGGUGGCGAAGGCGGCUCGCUGGGCAGUGGCUGACGCUGAGGCGCGACAGCGUGGGGAGCAAACAGG
rnacentral:rRNA from 1 species